UAGACGGAUAAUUCCGUUUAAUUAGAAGAUUUUACAUUUAAGGUCAAGAAAAAUAGUCACUAAUGAUUAAGCAUGAACGAUUGAUGAUUAUAACCUUCACGAACUCAUUUGAAUAUCACAGGGAUUUUUUCAAGCAUUUAUUGUAUUCAGAUAUCACAACGAAUCAAGAUAAAUAUAUAGAUAAUCAAAAUAUCUAAUAAUAAAAUCAUUCAAUCGAUCAAACUCACAAUAUAAAUUCUAACUUUGAUCCGAAAAUAAUAUCUAAAUCAUUAAACUUCAUCUCUAACCUUAGUACGAAAGUUUAUCCAACCAUGUUCAACACAAAAGCUAUGAAAAUUAAAUGAACAUUUUUCAUGAUAAAACUAAAAUAAAAUACCAAAUCAACACUAGAAAACUAACCGAGAGCAUAGAACAAAAGUGAAGAGAAAAAAAAAACCCCAAUAACUCCCUGUGUCUCACUCAAAAGCCCCUUCGAAAAAUAAAAUUUGCUCUUCCUGUAAGUCAGCCAUUCGGUUCAGCGUUCCACGGAAGAAAAGAAACAAAAAACUCCUUGCAGUUUCAUCCAGCUCUAUUUUCAUACUCCAGUUCAUGUUCAAGUCCCACUACGUUCAAGUCCCAAAGCCAGAAAAUAGAAUCCUUCUAGCCGAAAGUCCUUCUAUGUUCAAAGUCUAGCCUCUCGUCUCCGUUUUGUGUCUUUUUCAUCCUCCAAACGAAAGUGAAAACCUCCCUCUUGCAGUCUGUAGCUUUGCUCUGUUUCUUCCCCCUAAAAACAAAGCUGAAAGUCCCUAGUUUUUUCUUUCUCCCCUAAAAACAGAGCCAAAAGUCCCUAGCUUUUUUCACGUCUUUCCGCCUCCAACUCGCUGAUUUUCCUCCUGUUAUGUCAAUCCGGGACUACUACUUGCAUGCGACAAAAAGAAACCAAUUUACUUUCUCACAUCCAUCCAAAGCAAGGAAAGGUUUGAAAAUGUGUCACAGUAGGAUUGAUGGGGCUGUAUACUGUCCACGAAGAGAGCAUGUUGUCCACAAGGUUUGAGAGAGUUGAUCAAUGGUUUCUUCAAUGGCUCUUUACCCCGUGUGUGUCCAAGAUCCAAAAGCUAAAAAAUUGAACAAGUUGAAGUGGUGUGGGCUCCAUGUCCCAUGAAGAAAAGAAAUAUUCGUCCAUAGCCAACCCCAUGUGCAUUUGAUUUCUUUAUUCCAUGCAUGGGUCUCACAUCCUUUAUAUAUAUGUGAUUCUUCACUUGUUUAUACAUCCAUAGCGAAAAGAUCUCGUCUCAUGUGCUUUUGUCUUAUGUGGUGGUCAAACUGAAAUAUGUCUUAUGUCAAUAGUUUUAUUAUUGUUUGAACAGUUGUUGCUGUUUCUGAUGGUUUAAAAGCAUGGGAGAUACUGAAGAAAAGGGCCCAUAAAAUAGACCUCAUAUUGACAGAAGUGGAUUUACCAGCAAUAUCUGGAUUCGCUCUUCGUACACUAAUCAUGGAGCAUGAGAUUUGCAAAAACAUCCCAGUUAUAAGUGUGAUUUGCAGAAUGAGGGCUUUGAGUAUUAGAAACUGUAUCUGACAAUUAAGAAACUAACAGUACAGCUUCUGUUAUUGCACAGUGAUGUCUUCACAGGAUUCAAUAAGCACCGUUUAUAAAUGCAUGCUGAGAGGUGCUGCUGACUAUCUUGUCAAGCCCCUAUUAGGAGAAAUGAGCUGAGAAAUUUGUGGGAGCAUGUUUGGAGAACAAGCUAUCAUGAGCCUCUAUUUCUCAGCCUUGAUGUCCCUUUUGAUCUAUCAGUCAAAAGCUGGUGUAAAUAAUACCCAAGAUGAGAGUGUUGCACAAGAAAAGGCUGGAGCUAUAUCUGAAAACAGUACUGCAAGCAACUGUUGAAAUGGUGGUAUGGCUUGUGGACAGAAAAAUAAUGAACUAAUUGAAAAAGGAAGUGAUUCUCAGAUAUAGUGAUGUAGGGGGAUCCGAGACAUAUGAUGUUGAGCUGUCAGAUUGCACCUUGAUGGUGUUGAGAUACCAUGAUUUGGCAGAUUAACGCAAAGGCGGGAAUUGAUUGUGAUAUGUUCCUCAUUGGGGUCGUUUUGAGUGUGUUUCAGUCUUUUGGCCAUAACUUUGGCUACGGGUGUCGGAAUUGUACAUAAGACCUCAAUUCAGAAAGCUCUUUUUAGCGUGCACGCUGCCUUUUUUUCGACCUCAAAUUUUGUUGUUUUUCCGUCCGAAUCACUAAUUUUAGUUAUUUUUUACUAUUUAUGGUAAUAUUUCGCUUGUCAGUUAGGAAGUCAUUUUAAAUCCGAUUUGGGCCGAAUUUUUUGCAGAUUG